GUGUCAUUUUCGGUUAGUUUUCCUAGUCAUUCAGUUUUCGAUUUCCUAUGUGCAAAGAACAUUCGGCUCUCCAAAAAAGUAAUUAUCAAUUUGGUGAAUUUUAUUUUGUGCCACAGAAAGAACAGCACUGGAAAAAGCGACUCAGUCGUUGUGUCUUUUGCAGACUUUUAUCUGCAGACGAAAUACGAGAGCGAAGCCAGUGCAGUGCCACGACUGUUGUUCAGAAGUAACAGAAGGAACGAAGUGUGGAACGUAUCGGCCGUAUAUUUUGUAGAACCAAAACACAACGGAGAGAGAAACAAGUGCCUCGACUGUUGUGUUGAGUGGAUCGCAUGUUGAGACGGUUCUUUCUUCAUUUUAAGGCAUUUUUCAUAAAUAUUUGCCAUUAUUUGUUGUGCCUUAUUCGCAUUGUUACGGAAGUUUCCAAUUAGAAGAUUCAAACAAAUUCAAGCGCUGUUACCAGCAUGGCGCAGCCGGUAGACAAUUCGUUUUCAUACUGGUCAAGCAGUGCACGCCCCGGCGGCGGCCAAGCAGCAACAAGUAA